GAUAAUCCAAGUCGUCGAGGUUCUCCGGUUCCCAUUGAUCCGGAGCUAAGAGGGAAGCCGGUGCAAAUGCCGGCGCUGCCCCGCAACUGUAAGUGGCGAGCCGCUGUCCAACGAUGUCACUGAAGCCUGCACGGCUUCGGGAAGGCCGGACAGCAGCGAUGACCAGCAAGCCAGGAGACCGGCCCCGACAAUAUAUUGGUCC
rnacentral:ncRNA from 17 species